UUCCUGGAGCCCACUUGAUCAUAGGUGGCUCAGUAUCUGUACUCAUCCAACUGGCUACCUAAGAGAUGCAGAUGGAAUCAUGGAAGAAUAAGAAUGGUCAAUACAUUCAAUUAAGCAAAGAGCUAUUGUAACUAAGAAGCUUCACCACUUCUGUAUGGAAGAAGCUGCUUGAAUUCUUUUCUUUUUCCAAUUCGAUCUUCAAGUGACGCAUUCUCCCUCACACUACUAGUACGACUCUCCGUUUACAUCAUUUCACAUCAUUUUCUAUAGCUAUCUAUCAAUUGUUAAUUAACAAGUCAUUCAAAUUACAAAUAUUUCAAAACGACAUUUGUCAUCCCAUGGACACACCAAAAUGUGGUAUGAUACGAAAAGAAGUGAACUCCCUAGAAACACUCACAGGGCAAGAGAAGCAAUUGAAAAUUGAAGGUGUGAGAAAAGGAAACAGUGGAUGACCGUUGACUUGUCCCUAAAACUAGCAAAAAGAAAAAGUUGGUCCGUAAACCAUUAUAUUUCCUUCUGAACAAACUCAUUUUAUUUUUACAAAUAAAGUUUCCUGCAAAGAGAAUACCAGCAUUAACCUUGCUAGUGAGUCUUCCCCAAAAAAUAAUUAAAUUAUAGUAGCUAGAUAUACACUUCUUAUCACGAGCAUAUACAAAGCGUUUGAUAAUAGCAGAUAUAUGGUUUUGUUGAUACCUCUUUUCCACUCCGGACACUCCAAGCAUACACAGUACCAUCACCUGAUCCUGCAAAGUAGUUCAAAGCAACAUGUUACCUUUCUCUUCUUACCUUCUCGUUCUUUUGGGAGGGGGGAUGGGAUAAACGAAUAAAUUUGCUGGAAAAAUGUAUUUCAUUUGGAUAUGCAUAUGAGGAUUAAGGAAAAAAAGAAAAUGAACCUAAUUGUCUAUAAGACAAAAGAAUCUGAUAUUCAUAUACCCUUCUGGAGU
rnacentral:lncRNA from 1 species